rnacentral:rRNA from 1 species
UACGUAGGGGGCAAGCGUUGUCCGGAAUCAUUGGGCGUAAAGAGCGCGUAGGCGGCCCUGUAAGUCCGCUGUGAAAGUCAAGGGCUCAACCCUUGAAUGCCGGUGGAUACUGCAGGGCUAGAGUCCGGAAGAGGCGAGUGGAAUUCCUGGUGUAGCGGUGAAAUGCGCAGAUAUCAGGAGGAACACCGAUGGCGAAGGCAGCUCGCUGGAACGGUACUGACGCUGAGGUGCGAAAGCGUGGGGAGCAAACAGG